GAUGAACGCUGGCGGCGUGCCUAAUACAUGCAAGUCGAGCGAACAGACGAGGAGCUUGCUCCUCUGACGUUAGCGGCGGACGGGUGAGUAACACGUGGAUAACCUACCUAUAAGACUGGGAUAACUUCGGGAAACCGGAGCUAAUACCGGAUAAUAUAUUGAACCGCAUGGUUCAAUAGUGAAAGACGGUUUUGCUGUCACUUAUAGAUGGAUCCGCGCCGCAUUAGCUAGUUGGUAAGGUAACGGCUUACCAAGGCAACGAUGCGUAGCCGACCUGAGAGGGUGAUCGGCCACACUGGAGCUGAGACACGGACCAGACUCCUACGGGAGGCAGCAGUAGGGAAUCUUCCGCAAUGGGCGAAAGCCUGACGGAGCAACGCCGCGUGAGUGAUGAAGGUCUUCGGAUCGUAAAACUCUGUUAUUAGGGAAGAACAAAUGUGUAAGUAACUAUGCACGUCUUGACGGUACCUAAUCAGAAAGCCACGGCUAACUACGUG
rnacentral:rRNA from 1 species